AUUUUCGUAUUUUUUGCAGGAUACCUGUACAAUAACGCCCACAGUUCUGCUUUCCUUUGGGUUCGGCUACUACGCGGUGACGAUAAUAGUUGAGGACUACCCGAGUACUGGUACUGUCACUCUAAACGGUCAGGUGUAUAAUGACAAGAAACCCUUCACACAGACUCCAACACAGUUUCUGGUUUAUGCUUCCCGAAACUCGAUCCAGUGUGACUUACCAUCAUUCAUCCAUCCUCCCUGGUAUAAAGGUGAGGUUAUUGUGGUGGAACCAGAGAAGGAAUACUCCGAGACAUUGUGCGGAAACCCCUCAUCAAGCAACCUAAUUACAGGUUUCUCCGUAUCCAUGCCAAAGGGGAUGACAUACAAAUACGUGAAAGGUGUCCUAAAAGGUUCGCUGUGCGUGUUCGUACAGUGGACGCCUACUCUGGAACAAUUAGGCUCCCACAUGCUCUGUGUCACCGCGGAACAAUCGGAUGGGUUUACCAGUUUGCCAGAGUGUGUGAUGCUUCACGUGGAUGGUACGUAUCAACAGAACCAUGUGCAACUCAGUGAAUUAUA